rnacentral:rRNA from 1 species
CGGCGUGCUUAACACAUGCAAGUCGAACGGAGUAUUGACGCUGACGAGCAGAGUAGCUUGCUACGAAGCAAAUCUUGUUAAUACUUAGUGGCGGACGGGUGAGUAACGCGUGGGUAACCUGCCAUAUACAGGGGGAUAACACUUAGAAAUAGGUGCUAAUACCGCAUAAGCGCACAGUAUCGCAUGAUACAGUGUGAAAAACUGAGGUGGUAUAUGAUGGACCCGCGUCUGAUUAGCUAGUUGGUGAGGUAGAGGCUCACCAAGGCGACGAUCAGUAGCCGGCCUGAGAGGGUGAACGGCCACAUUGGGACUGAGACACGGCCCAAACUCCUACGGGAGGCAGCAGUGGGGAAUAUUGCACAAUGGGGGAAACCCUGAUGCAGCGACGCCGCGUGAGUGAUGAAGUAUUUCGGUAUGUAAAGCUCUAUCAGCAGGGAAGAAAAUGACGGUACCUGACUAAGAAGCCCCGGCUAACUACGUGCC